GAUGAACGCUAGCUACAGGCUUAACACAUGCAAGUCGAGGGGCAGCAUGUUGGUUGCUUGCAACCAAUGAUGGCGACCGGCGCACGGGUGCGUAACGCGUAUCGAACCUGCCCUAGUACUCAGGGAUAGGCCUUGCGAAAGUAAGAUUAAUACCUGAUGUUGUUAUUUAUUCGCAUGUUUGAAUAACGAAAGAUUUAUUGGUAUAGGAUGGCGAUGCGUGGCAUUAGGUAGUAGGCGGGGUAACGGCCCACCUAGCCGACGAUGCCUAGGGGUUCUGAGAGGAAGGUCCCCCCACACUGGAACUGAGACACGGUCCAGACUCCUACGGGAGGCAGCAGUGAGGAAUAUUGGUCAAUGGACGAGAGUCUGAACCAGCCAAGUAGCGUGCAGGACGA
rnacentral:rRNA from 1 species